rnacentral:tRNA from 1 species
UUAACUGAAGCCAAAAAGAGGCGUAUUACUGUUAAUAAUAAAACUGAGUAUGACACUCCAGCUAAA